GCAACUGGAGCGGCGAUGGUAGCCGUUGCGGCGACAGCGUCAUCGGAAGUCUCUCAAAUGGCUCCAGGACAGGUUCAUUCCUCAAUUUGUUUUUUUCCUGCUGGCGCUCCUUCUCAAUUCCAAACAAAACAACAGGGGCACGUUAUCAUUGUAGCUGGAAUUGUAAUCCGCGAAUCAGAAGGUUUAAGAAGGAUUGUCCUUGAUGUAGCUUGAGCGAAAGUUGACAAAUGCGUGGACAGGAUCUAGGUUUGAAACUCAGGAACUUUUGUAAGAGGCAUCAUAUUGCACUACAAUGCCUUCUCCUGAUAUUUCUCUAAGAAAGUAGUUCUUGCUUGUUCAUUUUGGUUGGGGGUGGCAGGGCAUGAAGGGGGCAGGAGCUGAGGUGCAACUACCUGAAUUAAUGGUUAGAGUCGAACAACAUUCUUCUCUUGAAUCUCAGAAUUAUGUGUGCUGGAAACUCGCGCACUAAGCCUCCCUAUUGUAACGCUCUCGGCGGUCUCAGGAUUUGCCCAUUUUGAUUUGGUGGUCAUAUGAAUCCGAAGCAGUCACAAUAUGGUUCAUUGAUUAAAGAUCUCACUCAUCAGACAGCAAUAAGAGUGCUCAGUGCCUGAAGAUGCCCAAAGUUGUUUCAGUUUCCCUACUUUUUCGCGCUAUUUUGUUAUGUCAUCCUCUCUUUCAAUAUUCAGAGGAAACUCUUUCAGGCAAUCGCAAAAGCGUUCCUGAUCAUACUAGUUUCUAUUCUUGGGUGUAUCUUCUUUGAUUCGGAUUUUGGUUCCACUGACCAUGGAGUUUAUUUUCAAUCCACAGACAGAGUUUAUGGUGGACAUGGAGUGCGACGGGUGCGUCAAGUCAGUGCGCACCAAAUUAGAGCCCCUUACUGGUAACGUGCAUGGCUGUAUUCAUUGUUCUUGUUUUAGAAUAUAUUAAUUGAAGCUUUCUAUCUAUUCUGAACACGGUAGCGUGAAAUUACGUGGUUCAUGCGAUGCUUGAGGCAGCCAGUAAUCUACGAUCUCAUUGUUCAAGGAACUUGAGGAUUGAAACUCAUGCAAGUCGUAUAACCGUCUCGAGUUCAGGUGU
rnacentral:lncRNA from 1 species